GACGAACCGUGCAAACGUUAUUCGGAAUCAUUGGGCUUAAAGAGCGCGUAGGCGGCGUCGUAAGUUGGAGGUGAAAUCCCAUCGGCUCAACCGUGGAACUGCCCCCAAUACUGCGACGCUCGAGGGAGGUAGGGGCAUGCGGAACUUCCAGUGGAGCGGUGAAAUGUGUUGAGAUUGGAAGGAACGCCAGUGGCGAAAGCGGCAUGCUGGAUCUCUUCUGACGCUGAGGCGCGAAAGCUAGGGUAGCGAACGGG
rnacentral:rRNA from 1 species